UUUUCGAGUCACCUUAAGCGGCCUCUGUUUAUUCCCUCAUUGUGAUCGCUCUGGUGGCGGCAAGUUAGUCAGUUAAAUUUUCCCGCCUGGUCUUAUUGUUGCCUCAGGUCAGACGUCGCCCUUUUUUUUUCUGCCUGACAGUGUAAAUUAAUCUCUCCGGUAGGUGCUGUUCUCUAUAUAAUAUUUACCAUAAGAGUUGAAAUAUGUUUGUUCAAAAUAUGUGCUUUUGUACGCCGUUUUAGAGUUGCCUCAGGUGGCGCCCAGUUAACGUUGGUCCGUCAUUGUUAUCACUCCGGUGGCGGCAAGUUAGUCAUUUCAGUUUUCCUGCUUUGUCUUCGAGUUGCCUGAGAAGGGUCAGAUGAGCGCAAGGUUUUUUUUUUUUUUCUCGACAGUACAAUCGCUCUGGCAGCUGCUUAGGUGGCUCCAAACUGGUCAGUUCAACCUCUCCUGCUUCAUCUUUGAGAAGUCUUUAAGUCAUUCGGUGGCUUUUUUUCCAACAGUAUCAUGACUUAGGU